GACGAACGCUGGCGGCGUGGAUUAGGCAUGCAAGUCGAACGGUAUCAUCCUUUCGGGGGUGAGAGAGUGGCGAACUGGUGAGUAACACGUAGGUUAUCUACCCUCAAGACGGGGACAACCCAGGGAAACUUGGGCUAAUACCGGAUGUGAGCAACUUUUUAGUUGUUUGAAAGGUGGCGUAAGCUGUCGCUUGGGGAUGAGCCUGCGUCCUAUUAGUUAGUUGGUGAGGUAACGGCUCACCUAGGCAAUGAUAGGUAGGCGGCCUUAACGGGUGGUCGCCCACACUGGGAUUGAGAUACGGCCCAGACUCCUACGGGAGGCAGCAGUCGAGAAUAGUCUACAAUGGUCGGAAGACUGAUAGUGCGACGCCGCGUGAACGAUGAAUCCCUUCGGGGUGUAAAGUUCUUUUAUAUGUGAGCAGUGCUUCUUAUAUUAACAGUAUGGGGAGAGAGAUAUUAGCAUAUGAAUAAGCAACGGCUAAACUCCGUGCCAGCAGCCGCGGUAAGCUCG
rnacentral:rRNA from 1 species